rnacentral:rRNA from 1 species
AUUAGAUACCCUGGUAGUCCACGCCGUAAACUAUGGAUGCUAGCUGUUAUUCGUAUCGACCCGAGUAGUAGCGAAGCUAACGCGUUAAGCAUCCCGCCUGUGGAGUACGGUCGCAAGACUAAAACAUAAAGGAAUUGACGGGGACCCGCACAAGCGGUGGAGCGUGUUGUUUAAUUCGAUGGUAAGCGAAGAACCUUACCCAGACUUGACAUCCUUGGAAGCACUGCGAAAGCAGAGUGUGCCUCCGGGAACCAAGUGACAGGUGUUGCAUGGCCGUCGUCAGCUCGUGUCGUGAGAUGUUUGGUUAAGUCCAUCAACGAGCGCAACCCUUGUGGCUAGUUGAAUUUUUCUAGUCAGACUGCCCUGGUAACAGGGAGGAAGGAGGGGAUGAUGUCAGGUCAGUAUUACCCUUACGUCUGGGGCUACAAACACGCUACAAUGGCCGGUACAAAGGGCUGCCAAGUCGCGAGACGGAGCAAAUCCCAUCAAAACCGGUCCCAGUUCGGAUUGCAGGCUGAAACUCGCCUGCAUGAAGUCGGAAUCGCUAGUAACGGUAGGUCAGCACACUACCGUGAAUACGUUCCCGGGUCUUGUACACACCGCCCGUCAAACCAUGAAAGUCGCCAAUACCUGACGUCUUAGCUAGUCUAGGCCUAAGGUAGGGGAGAUGAUUGGGGUUAAGUCGUAACAAGGUACC